UUUUUUUUUUUUUUUUUUUGUAGAAUUUUUUUGAAAGGAUUUUAAGUUGAUUAAAUUCUGUGUUUGAAAGAUGCCCUCAGACAAUUCACUUAGAUGGGACAUUGUUCUGGUUGCAAACAUGUCCAAUUGUAUUGGUUAAAUGGACGUAGGCUAUGCAUCCAACAAAAAUACUUGAAUAAGUUACUUCAGAAAUUGGAAGUUAAUUAUUUCUAUCUCAUCUGGGGUGCUUGAAAAUCGUCAUGAUUUUCUUGAUUGAGUUGAUAUUGAUCAAGAUUUGAAAAUGCAUAAAGAAGAGCCCUAGGAUAAUCAUCAAUGGACCGCCUCCCAAAACCAUUAGCAGAACUCUUUUUAUGCUGGGAUUCUAGUUUUCUUGCAAGGAGUACAUACCAUACUAAUGUGUAAGGAUAUGAGAGAAGACUAAGGAUACAAUCGAGCGGAAUCGAUUUUGAGUAGUAUACUAAAAUUUGGACUCAAGUUCGAGCUCGAACUCGAACUCACUGAGCUCUUAAAAAUCGAGCUCGAGUUCGUUUUGCCUUACGCAAGUUCGAGUUCGAGCUCGUGCAUAUAGAGUCCAAUCCACAUUAAUUCGAACUCAAUCGAAUUCAUAUGAACAUUUUUUUUUCUAGCUGCAAAUUGCUGGCCGGAUUUUGAAUAUAAUUGAACCUAAUCGGAUUUAAAAAAUGUAAAUUUAUAUUUUAUAUAAUUUUAAACAAAGGACAAAAUAGACCUUCUAUACUAAAAAAAAUAUAGAAGACAAUUGUCAACAAAACAAAAUCAUGAACUACCGAUUUAUGGUUGGAAGUUGGUAAAUGUGUGGUAUCACGUAUAUUUAUAUACGUGCAGCAUCUACAAAAAGAGAUUGAAUACUACCAUUUUCGAGGCACACACGUUUUGGUUCGGACUGUAGAGAUCCCCAGAGGAAUAUCAUUGAUGAUAAUCAUUUAAGUUUAUGCCUUAAUAAUGGUAAUCGGUGAUCCUAGCGGUUCAAUUAUUUUAUCAUAUCAUCCUUUCGAUACUUGAUUAGACGAAUUUUUCGUAUUUGUUAACAUGUCCAAGUCUUAUAACCACCAAAAAACAACUUUUUGGACCCUUAAAUUCAAUUCAUGCUCUUUGCAUAGUUGAAAAGACAAUUUAUGCUUUUGCAAAUAAAUUCUUUUUAUUUCUCUACCGACUGUACCCACAUCCUGUUGUCCAGCUUACUCGCUCGGUGGACUAUUUCCGCCCCCGAAAAUCAGUGGCAGACCCAGAAAAAGGAAGUAAAUCAGUAGGAGCACAGUUUGAAAUAAAUUCUUUCAAUUAUGUGAAUAAAAGUAGACUUUUUAUUUUUGUAACCAGCUAUUCGCUAAUUUAUUUUAUGUUGUUCUCCGACUAUACUUUCAAUCACAUUUUACUAAUAUUUUCAUCUCACAUACAACACUUCACGAAAGUUUUAUCAACGAAGGAUACAAAAAAAAAAGAAAAAAGAGCACCUAAUGAUAUUCACAUAACAAGGAUUAAGGAGUAACUAUACUUGUAUUUAGUAAAUAACAUAAGAGGAUAUGAGGAACCUACACCUACUAAUUAAUGUGCUACAUUUCUUUAAAGUACACUCGUAGAAAAACACAUUCGCCGACUGAAUUCUUUAGAGCAUUAGACUUGUAAUGAUCAUUAAGAAUGAAAAAUUAUAUCUAUUUGCUUGUUUAAUUAAUAAAACAAAAUUUUUUCCUAAAUUCAAACACCUGUUUAGUCAGUGGGGCACAUUUACGUAUUAAUAGGGUACAUUUAAAUUUUUUCCUAAAAAACUACACCUAAUUUUGAAAGGAUCAUGGUUUAAGCAGAAAACUAUGCCAAACCUUAGUUGGUUGAAAGGAUCCCCGUUCCCCAGCUUCCAAAACCCAUGAAAUUCGAGUGGGAGUACUGAUUAAUUACUGACAUACUCCAUACUGCUGUUAUUUAGAUUGGACUUUUUGGAGAAUCCUUUUUCUUUUAAGGCACUUUUGUUUAAAAAAAAAAAAAGGGGCAAAUUACACUUUACUCCCUUGUGGUAUAGUUAAUUUUCACAUAACCCCUCUCUAGUUUUAAAAACUAUAUAUAACCCCCUCAUAAUUUGGAUUGAAGUGUCAAAAUGACACAAAUGAUCAUUCGUAACGGAACCUGUAAAAAUGUCGAAAUUACCCCUAUUUAAAAACUAAAAUGGUUUAAGUGACCAAAAUAUAUAAACAUAAUAUGCAUGACACUUUAAUCCUGUAUAGUUUUACAUUUUACCAUAUAAUCCCUUUAUACUUUAGUGUUUUACCAUAUAACCCCCUUAUGAUUUUCAAUAGAUACAUAGCCCCUUGUGGUUAAUAAAUAAUUUUUAACUUUACAUAGGGGUAUUUUUGACAUUUUAGUUGACUUUGUUAUGGAUUGCAAAUUCUGUUAUUUUGACACUUUAAUUCAAACAAUAAAAGGGUUAUAUAUAGCUUUUGAGAUCAUAGGGGGUUAUGUAAUAAAACACUAAACUACAGGGGGUAAAUUGUAAUUUGUCCAAAAAAAAAAACUGUUGGCCAAGAUCAUGAAGUGUACUGAUUUUGCUGUUAGAUUAAUCAUUUGCUGAUUAGUUAGCAGGAUAACGAAAGAAUGACUUGCAAAGUAAAUUUAAAUCCACGCAAAAUAAAUCUUUAUGAUGCAAAACAAAAACAAUUUAUUAUUUUAUAAUAAGACAAAGUUGGUAGGAGUUUCAUGUAUUUAUAUUCAAUCUGCUAAUUUCUUUGACUGGAUUUGUCAUGAUUUGGCAAAUGGACACUAUUCUUGCAAUUCAAAAUUGCACAUUGAUAUAUCAUCUCUCAAGGAGCAUUACCUGAAAAGAAAAAAAAAAAUCCAAGGAAUGUUUUUGUUGUCUCACCAGUCAACCCAGAAGUCGUUUUCAAGAAAAUAAUUUACAUUUGUUCCCAAAAAAUAAAUUAUUUUUUGCAAAAUCAAUGCAGAACUAUGGAAAUCGUGGGGAGCAAACACUCCCCAAAAAAAAAAAAAAAAAAAGGCACUUCAACUUCCCUUCUCCAUUUGUCAUUGAAAUCUCUUGAAAACCUCACUCUACCGUCCUCUGAAAUGCAACGCGACUUGCUAAUCCAUGACAGCUUUAUAAUCCGGCAUUCGGUUUCCUUUCCAUGGGCUCUGAAAGUUUGAGAAAAGGGAAAUCUCCAUUUGUGGAACAGCAUUCCUGUUCUUGUUCUUAUUGGCGAUCAUUCGUUAUUGCUAGGGAAGAAAAUAAGAUGACAUAUAAUACUAUGCUUGCGAGAAGUUUCAGUUGGCAUGAGCAGAGAAAAUUAGGAUCUUGGGCUUUUGUUGGUUCCUUGGUCAUUGCUGUGACAAUUUUCACUGUUUUCAAACCUUACAUGUCCAGCAAUCCACCAGUCUGUAAGCUUCUACACGUACAAAAGAUUUAUGCUAGAUAGCGAUAUGUUUAUACUUUCGGAGUAUAGCUUAUUUGUACAUCUAGACAUCCUUGGUCUUCAAUUUGUCAAUCCUUUAACGCAAUAUACACCACACCUGUUAACUAGGUGCUAAGUAGUAGCACAAUUCUGAUUAUCCAGCUUUAAUUUCUUUGUUAACUUGGGUAUACAUAAUGCAUGCAUUUUGCAGUGAAUUUGCAUUUGCAGUUGUCAACAGGAGCUAGCCUCAACAUGCUGAUGAGAAGCAAGGAAGCAGCAGUUGAACCACGGCAAUCAUGUAAGAAUAUAAGAAUCUCUCAUAUAAAAAUUAUCAUGUUUGAGCAUUUCUAAAUGGAUGCAGAGGCUGAACAUUUUCCGGUAUUAUGAUUUGUUGAUUUGCCAAACUGAUUAGAGCUAAUGUUAAGCCUCCAAAUGCUCUGCUAACUAAACAAUCUUAUGCUAUUCCGAAGCAGCAAAUUUUUCGUGAGCUUAUUUUGUUGGCUGAGUUAAAAUUUUUGUUGUAAAGUUCAUAUAAACUCUGAAGCACAAUAAUCAAUUAAAAGUUGGUUGUUUCUUUUCUUGGUAAUUUCAGAUUUUGACACAAAGGAAGUGAAGCCAAUGUGCAACCUUACACGACCAAGAUCAGAUUUUUGUGAGAUGAAUGGGGACAUACGAAUUCAUGGUAACUCAUCAAAAAUUUUCAUUGCUUCAACACCGACUCAAAUGCCAGUUGGCAAAGAGAUUUGGAACAUAAAGCCUUAUGCCAGAAAAGAAGAUGGCAUUGCAAUGGGACGAGUCAGGAGAAUAACAAUUCAACCAGCACAGGUUUUAGGGGGCCUUCCUGAUUGCAGUAGAAACUACAACAUUCCCGCGGUUGUUUUCUCCACGGGAGGAUAUGCAGGAAACGCAUUCCAUGACUUCUCUGAUGUCUUGAUUCCACUAUAUUUGACAUCUAUUGAAUUCAAUGGUGAAGUACAAUUUCUUAUAACCGAUCAUCACUCCUGGUGGACAGACAAGUACCAACCCCUGCUACAAAAGUUAUCCAAGUACGAUUUCAUCGAUAUUGAUCAAGAGAGUCGAGUGCUCUGCUUCCCCAGAGUCAUUGUUGGUCUAAAAGCCACCAACAAAGAACUUGGGAUCGAUUCUUCGGAGUCUUCAUAUUCGAUGAUGGGCUUCAGGCAAAUCUUAAGAAGUGCUUAUUCUUUGAAGAGGGAAAGAGUGGAAAAGUUUAGAAAUGACAAGAAACUGGGCAAAAGACCACGACUUCUUGUAAUUUCAAGAAGCCAAACAAGGCGGCUGAUCAACACAAGACAAAUUGCAAAAAUGGCUCGAACAAUAGGCUUUAAUGUUGUCAUUAAGGAAACAGGUUCGAAUGUAUCAUUAGUUUCGGAGAUGGUCAACUCCGUUGAUGUUAUGGUAGGAGUACAUGGGGCUGGACUCACUAACAUGGUUUUCCUCCCAGAAAAAGCAGUGGUCAUCCAAAUUAUACCGCUGGGAGAUAUGGAAUGGAUAGCUAGGACAUUCUACCAAGAGCCUGAAAGAGAUAUGAACCUGCGGUAUUUGGAGUACAAGAUUAGUCCAAAUGAAAGCUCAUUAAUACAACAGUAUCCUCACGACCAUGAGAUUUUUAAGGAUCCAGGUGCAAUUUCUAAGAUAGGAUGGCGUUCUUUCAGAUCAGUUUUUCUAGAUAAACAAGAUGUAGAUCUUGAUUUAAACAGGUUUAAGGAAGUUUUGCUAAGAGCCCUUGAGUUUUUGCAUGGUUAAAUUACUUGACUGUAUAAAGAUAGAUUUAUGGCUGCUAAGUUGAUACUAGAUUUUUUUUGUUUUUUUAACAUUAUGGCUAUUAUAAUGAAAAUUUAUACUAUUAAUGAUAUGGCUGCUAAGUUAAUAAUAGAUUUUUUUUUUUUUUUUUGGUUUUUACAUUAUGAACAUUAUUAUAAUGAAAAUUUAUACUAUUAAUGAGGUUACUUUAACUUGGUCUUGGUCCUGGUCUCUUGUUGAUUGCAUAUCCUCACGCUUUUCCUGAAAUAUCAGCAUAGUUAGCGUUUGUUGUCUGAUUCUUUUUUCCAAAUUUUUCUCCAGAUUUAGGAAGUUAAUUUACCAGCGGAAACAAAGUCCUUAAGUACAAUCUCCAUUGGAACGUUGGAUGUGAAUAUAAACAACUAUCCGUUUCUGGUUUGAGCACAGAUAGAGAUAGGGGCUACAAUUUACAUGAACACUCUCUGGUGAUUUGCUUAGAAAUUAGCUAACAAUGGCCAACCAGUAGCAUUUAUACAGCUAAAAAGAAUUCCAAACCCGUCCAAACACGUCGAUUAAUUUUCAAUGGGUCUACAUGAGUACCCAAUAAAACUCAUUUAAUUAGCGGAUAGAGAGUUGACUUGACUCAUCUAUUUAUAUUCAUUUAAAAAUAAUUAUAUAUUUAAAUUCAACUUUUAGUGAGUGCUAAACAAAUAAAUUUAAAUUUUUUGCCAAUCUAAUAACAAUAAAAUAUCGUUGUUUCUUAUCCAACAACAUGCGAAAAAAAUGAGUAGAAUUUUAAGUGACUCAUAAAUGGAUAAUUAAAUAUAUCCAUAUCCAUUUAUGAAAUGAGAAGAUCGAGUUUGUACCUUCACUAUCAUGUAUUACUGCCCAUUGGUUGUCAACUCUAGAACAACAUUAUUGUCUUAGUAUAUUUAGUAUUUCCCAAUGUUUUAACAAGCGUUUGCAUGGCGAGCCCAGGGCGAGGUGUUCCAAUAUUGCCCUGAGCAAUCGCAUAAGGCGAAAGUGUUCGGCGGCUUACGUCCAGCCGUCCAGGCGUUUGGGGUUGCCUCUAAAAUGGGGGUGUUAAAAGUGUACGCCCACAAAUUGUCUUAAAAAAAGAUUUAACUUCAUCAAUUAAGUUUUUAUUUUUUUAAUAUGCAACUGUAUUACUAAUUUACUAUCUAUUAAAUUGAGACAUUGAGUGAAUUCGAUAUGAAUUUAUUUGAAAUAUAAUAUAUGGUUAGACAAGAAAGAUAAAGAAAAAUAGAUUGUUACCUAUAAAUUGGAUCUUGUGAUGUGAUGAAAAGUUCGGAACCAUCAUCAACUAUUGGAAGAAAAUUACCUAGUGUAUAUAUACUAGAUGAAGAUGAUGACACGGAUGAUAUUGACUUUGACGAAUAGUAUCAUUUUAUUUGUCAGUUUGUUUCUAAUUAUUGGUGCUAUUCCUUGUUAUGUAUUAUAAGCAAUAUGGUUGCUAAUUUGGUAUUGUAUUUUUUACAGUACUAGUUAAGUGUGUUGAUUGAAACAAUUAACCUUUGAAAUUUGUGUCCACUUGAAUUUAUGUGUUUGUAAUUUCAGUGCUUGAUAAUGUGGUGACUUCAGAGUUGUGACUAGUUUCUUUCUAAAAUUGAACUUUUUGUAAUGUUAAUUGUUCUGUUUUUUUUGUGCAGCUAAUAUUAAUAUGUAUGUUUCUUAAAUUAUUAAUUAGAAUUAUACAAUGAUAAUUCUUUAUCUGUAUAAAUUUUCUUAAUUUUAUUAUAUUAUUUAUAUCUCCAAAUGACUUUUUCAUAAUAUAUAUCAUAUUUAUAUAUAUUUAAAAAAUAAAAAUUAACAAGGCUUACGCCUUAUGCCUCCGGACUUUCGCCCCGUUGGGACGGAUACUAAAUGUCCCGUCUAACGUUUUCGCCUUUUAAAACAUUGGUAUUUCCCUCCUCCUUUGUCUCCAUUGAAUACGUUUGGGAAUGAAUAUCAUGCUAGUUGAUGUAAUGCCCGUUAUUUAGUAGAGUAGCAUUCUGGUGGCUGAUGUGGAAGGACUUUGAUUCCCACAAUCUGUACACCAUUAACCUCAUUAAUCUUAGGGUAAAUUACAUAUAACCCCUAUAAUUUUGUCUAUUGUCACAUAACCUUCAUAACAUUUCAAGACAUCCAUUUCAUCCCUUGUAAUUUUAUGUAAAGUGAAAACUCAAUGAAAUAUAACCUAUAUAACGUCAUUAAUUGAAAUACUAAUAAUAUUCUUACUUAACUGUUAAAUCAAUCGAUGGCUUAUCUAACUUGUAUAAAAAUAUAAGGAGUUUAUGUGGAUAUAUACAAAAAUCACCCAGUUAAAUAAAAAUUAAGAUUUUAUCACACACUUUUAGAGCACGUUUUGUAUAAACAAUAUAACUAAUUAUAUAUUCUAUCCAUUUUUCACUUUACAUAAAAUUAUAGAAGAAUUAUGCGCCUAAUUUGAAAUCUUACAAAAGUCAUCUGGCAUUAUGUAAAAUCACUGGGGUUUAUAAGUAAUUUACCCUUAAUCUUAUGCUGCUCAUCUUGCAAAGUUGUGUUUCAACUUUAGUCAGCAAGAGUUUUCAAAUAACAACAUGCAAAUUACUUGUUAUAAUUCUAUUACGUAAAAGAGAAGUCCCGGAAACUGAAGUCCCGUAAAACUGAGUUUAAGCAAUACAUGGACAAGAAGGCCAAACUCUCAGUUUUCCGGGACGAAUCCCUGCCUUCCGCAUCCCAAUAUAUCCCCGUCCCUCCAAAUCUUCCUUUUUAGGCGGGAUAUACACUGUUUUACCUCUCCAAAGAAUCAAAAG
rnacentral:lncRNA from 1 species